rnacentral:rRNA from 1 species
ACGGGAGGCAGCAGUGAGGAAUAUUGGUCAAUGGGCGAGAGCCUGAACCAGCCAAGUAGCGUGCAGGAUGACGGCCCUAUGGGUUGUAAACUGCUUUUAUAAGGGAAUAAAGUGAGUCUCGUGAGACUUUUUGCAUGUACCUUAUGAAUAAGGACCGGCUAAUUCCGUGCCAGCAGCCGCGGUAAUACGGAAGGUCCGGGCGUUAUCCGGAUUUAUUGGGUUUAAAGGGAGCGUAGGCCGGAGAUUAAGCGUGUUGUGAAAUGUAGACGCUCAACGUCUGCACUGCAGCGCGAACUGGUUUCCUUGAGUACGCACAAAGUGGGCGGAAUUCGUGGUGUAGCGGUGAAAUGCUUAGAUAUCACGAAGAACUCCGAUUGCGAAGGCAGCUCACUGGAGCGCAACUGACGCUGAAGCUCGAAAGUGCGGGUAUCGAACAGGAUUAGAUACCCUGGUA